rnacentral:lncRNA from 10 species
CUUACCUGUUCCUGCCUACCUUGUGUUCUAGGACUUUUAUUGGAAAAGCCACAUAGAGGUCAAACUCUGUCUAGCUAUCCGUCUAUAAAGAAAUCCAGACAGCGUAAUGCAGCAUUUUAUGAACAACAAGUGGAUCUUCUGGGAAUGACAGAAUCCUCCCUACGAAUUAGAAGCAUGGAAGGAUUCGUUACACUUUAACAUGUUUCUUCAGUGACAUGUGCGACCUUGACUUUUAAUUAUUCAAGAGUGGCAAGUAUGGAACCUAAAGUGGAUUGUUGACACAAGAUGCCUGGAAAUAAGUUACCUGUGUAACUAAAGAACCUGUAAGUCCCUCAAUAGGAAAAAGUGGAAACUGACCCAGAGGAUGCCAGACAGAAGGAUAUAUCCAAUUGCAGUUCUUACCAGCAUACAGGAGGAGGUUCCAUAUGAAUAUAACUUCUUGCCUAAGUUGGUUUAGGUAAGAAGACUCUUCAUGUGCCUGUUUCCUUCAAAUUUUAAGGAGAGCUCUUGCAUGGUGGUAGAACCGAGGACAGCCUAGACCUUCUGAUUGUCAACUCCUUGUUCCAUUGUGUCCAAACCUACAUGUCUGAACUCCUCUCAUCAAAGACUUCUCAAAGUUAUUAAUAACUGGGGAUCACGUAUUCAGUAAUUACACACAUCAGGCUCCAUGCUUUCUGUGCAGUAUGUAAAUUGAUUCAUUGUCAUACUAAUUAUAAAUGGCUAGUAUUAUUGCUGCUUUACAAAUGAGGCAUAUGACACACAGGGAGCUAAAUAAUUUGCCUAAGGUCACCCCACUUGUAAAUGAUGAAGCCAGGACUCAAGGCCAGGUCUGGCCACCCCUGAAUUUAAUAGCUUUAUCCUCUAUAUCUCUGUUUUCUCCCAGACCAAGGUGUCUGUACCUCUCUGCCAACAGAGAAAAGGGUUCAUUCAUUCAUCAAAUGUUUGUUGAGCAUCUAUUGUGACUCAGGCAAUAUCCUAGAUCAAGGAUUGUCAAACUUUUUCUAUAAAGGACAAGAGAGCAAACAUUUUAGGUCUCCUGGGUCAUACGGUCAGUCACUGUGAUUCAACUCUGCUGUUGUAGUACAAGAUUGUGAAAGCAGCCAUAGAUGAUAUGUCAAUGAAUGAGCAUGGUUGUGUUCCAAUAAAAUGUCACUUGCGAAAGCAGGCUGUGGGCUGGGUUUGGGCCAAGAGUUCUAUCCCUGCUCUAGGCACUGGAGUUACAAUAGCAAAAAAUUAAAAUAAAGUAAAAUAAAAACACAAAAAUGCCUGCCUUUGUGGUGCUUCCAUUCCAGAAUGGGGAAGUAAUUGUAUUUCUGUCCCGUUUAUCAUGUAAAAAUUGUCAUAGGAUCUUGGAGUUGCUGAGCACCUAGAGGUGAUCUGUUCAGCAUUUUCCUCCCAGGGCAGCUCUCCACUCAGAACUCUCUUGGCUGGUGAGGGUUCAUUCUGUGUGCCCGGAUCUAGUGUCACCUCACCUUCCAGGGGACCCAUCCUUGUCACAUAGUCCUUGCUUAUCUGUCUUCCUGACAAUUUAACUCACAUCCUACCCUGUUUGGGCAGAGGGCCCCACAUUUUAGCAUAUCAUAAUCACUUUUGGGGCUUGAAACACUUUGAUGGGCUCCACUCUCGAGAUUCUGAUUCAAUAGGUCUGGAGUGAGGCCCAAGAUUUUCCCUUUCUGACAAAUUCCCAGGUAAUUCC